rnacentral:rRNA from 1 species
GACGAACGCUGGCGGCGUGCUUAACACAUGCAAGUCGAACGGAAAGGCCCUGCUUUUGUGGGGUGCUCGAGUGGCGAACGGGUGAGUAACACGUGAGUAACCUGCCCUUGACUUUGGGAUAACUUCAGGAAACUGGGGCUAAUACCGGAUAGGAACUCCUGCUGCAUGGUGGGGGUUGGAAAGUUUCGGCGGUUGGGGAUGGACUCGCGGCUUAUCAGCUUGUUGGUGGGGUAGUGGCUUACCAGGGCUUUGACGGGUAGCCGGCCUGAGAGGGUGACCGGCCACAUUGGGACUGAGAUACGGCCCAGACUCCUACGGGAGGCAGCAGUGGGGAAUAUUGCACAAUGGGCGGAAGCCUGAUGCAGCAACGCCGCGUGCGGGAUGACGGCCUUCGGGUUGUAAACCGCUUUCGCCUGUGACGAAGCGUGAGUGACGGUAAUGGGUAAAGAAGCACCGGCUAACUACGUG